rnacentral:rRNA from 1 species
UACGUAGGUGGCAAGCGUUAUCCGGAUUUAUUGGGCGUAAAGAGAACGCAGGCGGUCUUUUAAGUCUGAUGUGAAAGCCUUCGGCUUAACCGGAGUAGUGCAUUGGAAACUGGGAGACUUGAGUGCAGAAGAGGAGAGUGGAACUCCAUGUGUAGCGGUGAAAUGCGUAGAUAUAUGGAAGAACAUCAGUGGCGAAAGCGGCUCUCUGGUCUGUAACUGACGCUGAGGUUCGAAAGCGUGGGUAGCAAACAGG